UUGAUUAAGGUUAAGUAGGUUCUUCAAAUAUUAUUUGAUAUCCACAAAACCUUCUUACAUUGUUUACUUUCAAUGUCCAAGUUAAAUCUCAACUCUUCAACUUUGACCUGUUCUUAUUCAAAUAUUUGUUGUCUUCCAAAUUCUCUCUUUGCUUCCAAGAGCAACUCUUCACACUUAUAUUACUUGCAAGUGGCAAAGCAAUGUCACUAAGUAUAAGUAAGCACAUAUUUAAACAAACUAGAGCAAGGAGAAAUCACACAACUACAAAGAUUUUCCUACAAGGGCAAUUGAAAAGAGACUAUGACAACACCACUC
rnacentral:lncRNA from 1 species